rnacentral:sRNA from 1 species
UGGAAAGUGCUGGAAUCAGACACCCUCUAUCCACAGCAAAGACAUGGAAAAGGCAGUACUUUCCCCCAGGCUGCCCCACACAGGCCUCAGCCCUGCCACCCUACUUGUAGGGGUAGAGAAGAGAGUUGAGUCUCCAUGGCCCAUUCAACCCUUGGCCUCU